rnacentral:lncRNA from 1 species
GAAUGGGUAAUCGGGUUUUGGUUCGAAUUUUGGGUUUGGACCAAGCGGGCCCAGGGUCGAUUUUUGACUUUUUGGGGAAAACUUUAUAAAACCUAUUUUCAUACAUUAGAAUUGAUUCAUUUAGCAUUUAUUGAUAUCGUUAAGUAAAUUGUGGCUAGAUACAAGCGAGUUGGUGGUGGAAACAAGAGGUAAAGCGGUAGUUGAAGCUUGGAUUGUGUUCGUGGCAUCGAGGUAAGUGUUUGGUCUAAGCUUAGCUUGGGGGAUUAGGAAUCGUGUCUUAUUUGUUAUGUGUUAAUUAUUGAGUACGACAUAUAGGCAUGGUGACGAGUAUCUAUACGUUGGUGUCAAGCAUGCCCGUGAGUCUUAUAAUAUGAUUAAUGUGACUUUGUUUCAUAUUAUUCAUGCUUUAUAUAAUGAUUUCCAUUGAUGAACAAGACUUGUGAAAGUAUUAUUGAUAAUUGAACAUCGAAGAGCGUUAGCUCAAGUUGUAAAAUGAUUUGUAGAAGUAUUAUUACCAAUUGAACAUUUUAGAGCAUUGACUCAAGUUGUGAAGUAAAUGUGGAAAAGAGAAGAGAUUUAUGAUAUUAUCUCGCUUGCCGGGACGUUAUUAUUCAUGAUAUUGUGUUCCCUUGCCGGGAUAUUGUUAUUAUGUUGUUGUUCCCUUGCCGGAAUUUUAUUUAAAUAUUAUUGGUUCUCUUGCCCAAAUUAUUUGUGAUUGUUGCUUGGGUGAGGAUGAGUGUAAAGCACGAAGGGUGAUGUCGUGCAUGAUAUUUUGUGAAAGAGUGUAAAGCACGAAGGGUAAUGCCAUGUAUGAUUUUGAGAGUGUUAAUGCACGAAGGGUGAUGUCGUGCCAAUAUUGUGAGGUAAAAGCACGAAGGGUGAUGCUGUGUCGCACGACGUACAAUUCUGUGCCGAUUAUACUGAUUUCAUGGUGAGGACGAGAGUAAAAGCACGAAGGGUGAUGUCAUGCAGAUUUUUAUUGAUUAUUAUGGUGAGGACGAGAGUAAAGGCACGAAAGGUGAUGCCGUGUACUUGCCUUUUAUUUCUGAUUUCUUGCUGGUAAUUGAACCUUGGUGAUCCUUAUAUUUAUCUGUUGUUUUUCUGCAAUUAUUUGAUGUUCCCCGUAGUAUGUUUUCCCCUCCCAUCCUUAACUGUACAUUUUUUCUUUUAUUUUCCGUUGUAUAUGAUUUAACUGCACAGGUUUAUUUGGUAGUCUGGUCCUAGCCUCGUCACUACUUUGUCGAGGUUAGGUUAGGCACUUACCAACACAUGGGGUCGGUUGUGCUGAUACUACACUCCGCACUGUGUGCAGAUCCCGGUACAGGAGCUUACGGACCUUAGCUUUAGGUUGUUGCCUUCAGUCCAUUCGGAGAUCUGAGGUAGUCCUGCAGGCGUCCGCAGGCCUUGGCGUCCCCUUCUAUCCUUUCAUCAUGUUUCAUUUAUGCAUUUCAGAGACAACGUUGUAUUUAUUUUUUGGACCCUUAUUUGUAGCAUUUCUAGACCGUCUGUGAAAUUGUGACACCAAUUCUGGGUAGUUUAUGUUUAAGGAUUUGUAUUAGUAAUAUUUAAGUGGUUAUAUUAUGUUCUGCCG